CUUUUCGAGGUAGGAGUCGACUCCUGUGAGGUAUGGUGCUGGGUGCAGAUGCAGUGUGGCUCUGGAUAGCACCUUAUGGACAGUUGUGUCCCCAAGGAAGGAUGAGAAUAGCUACUGAAGUCCUAAAGAGCAAGCCUAACUCAAGCCAUUGGCACACAGGCAUUAGACAGAAAGCUGGAAGUUGAAAUGGUGGAGUCCAACUUGCCUGGACCAGCUUAAUGGUUCUGCUCCUGGUAACGUUUUUAUCCAUGGAUGACUUGCUUGGGUAUGGAGAGUCGGCUUGACUACACUGUGUGGAGCAAGUUUUAAAGAAGCAAAGGACUCAGAAUUCAUGAUUGAAGAAAUGCAGGGUUUUUAAUGACCACAACAAGCAAGCAUGCAGCUUACUGCUUGAAAGGUGAGGAUUGGAAAUGUUGGGACUAUUAUAAUUGCAGAAUACAUGAUGAUCUCAAUCCAACUUGAACUCUCUCACUGAUUACUUGAUGACAAUAAAAUAUCUGAUAUUCUGCAUUCCCAUGUAGCAUUUUAAUUGAAGUCUGUAAAUGUGGCUAAAAGUCUUGUCUUAUUUUUUGAGACAGGGUCUUGCCUCACCCAAGCUAGAGUGCAGUGGCCUUUGAAGCUUACUACAGCCUCAAACUUCUGGGCUCAAGUGAUCCUCAGCCUCCCAGUGGUCUUUGUAGACUGCCUGAUGGAGUCUCAUGGCACAAGAAGAUUAAAACAGUGUCUCCAAUUUUAAUAAAUUUUUGCAAUCCA
ensembl:lncRNA GAS5 growth arrest specific 5